GUGAAUCAUCGAAUUUUUGAACGCAAAUUGCACUCUCUGGUAUUACGGAGAGUAUGUCUGUUUGAGGGUAUGAUUAAAUAAAAAUCGGUGUGGUUGCUGCUUUUCGUGGUGACGCACCGGAUUUGGGUCGUCUUGCCUUCGGUUAAGUGACCUAAAAUUUCGCAUGAUUUUUUUCGAACGUAUUUAAAUGUAUUUACGUACGUUUGUGAUAUCGCAUACUAGGUGUGGUGAUACUCAUAUUUCGC
rnacentral:misc_RNA from 1 species